GCUUCUUUUGGGUAUCUUGCUGUUGUGGUAGUCACCUGUUUGCAGUGGCACCUUUGUUAAAGAAGACCUGUUGUGAAGUGUAAUACAAGAGCCUGUUUGGUUUUGAGUUCUGUUAUUUGAAGUCCUUGGCUUUCUCUCUGUCACUGAUGUUAAUGGAAAGUUUUCUGUAAGAACAAUAAUUUUCUUUGAGACAUGAUGACGGGGAAAGAAUUUGAAACCAGAUUUGAAAACCAGCAUUUGUGUAAUGUUUUAUAAUAUUUAAUAGAUCUGUAAAUACUAAAAUUGCAAGGACAAAGUAUACCUUGAACUCACACUAGGCUUCUUCUAGGGUACCAGUGGACUUGAUAGUAAGUUUUCUUUGUUUUGAAUCUAUCUUCAGGAAGCUGAGAAAAGCAGAAACCUGGGAAUUAUGGAUUCAGUAUUAUAAAUGGUUUGGUGGCAUUGGCAUAUGAGGAUAAUCGGAUCUUGUGUUAUUGGGUAGUCUGGCAUGGAGAAAGAAAAAAAUCCACUGAAUAUCAUGCAAUUAGGAGAAGUGCCAUUAGGCAAGGGGUUGAUGGAUUGGCUGGAGAAAGCUGGAAGCUUGAAAUGACUCUCUACAAGGUGAUCAAGAACACAGCACCUGGAUGAAGGGAGGAGCAGGAGAAAAGGUGGCGACAGUAAGCAAGGAGGUGAGUUAAUGCUUUAGAACUGUCAGACUAUUCAAUAUGAGAAUCAAUGUCAUCAGCUGAAAGAAGCCAAGGGGAGCAGGAUGGUCUCA